rnacentral:rRNA from 1 species
AUUGAACGCUGGCGGCAGGCCUAACACAUGCAAGUCGAGCGGAUGAAGGGAGCUUGCUCCUGGAUUCAGCGGCGGACGGGUGAGUAAUGCCUAGGAAUCUGCCUGGUAGUGGGGGAUAACGUCCGGAAACGGGCGCUAAUACCGCAUACGUCCUGAGGGAGAAAGUGGGGGAUCUUCGGACCUCACGCUAUCAGAUGAGCCUAGGUCGGAUUAGCUAGUUGGUGGGGUAAAGGCCUACCAAGGCGACGAUCCGUAACUGGUCUGAGAUGAUGAUCAGUCACACUGGAACUGAGACACGGUCCAGACUCCUACGGGAGGCAGCAGUGGGGAAUAUUGGACAAUGGGCGAAAGCCUGAUCCAGCCAUGCCGCGUGUGUGAAGAAGGUCUUCGGAUUGUAAAGCACUUUAAGUUGGGAGGAGGGGCAGUAAGUUAAUACCUUGCUGUUUUGACGUUACCAACAGAAUAAGCACCGGCUAACUUCGUG